UCUCCCUGCCCCUCCCCUCCUAGCUCACUCUCUCUCUCUCUUUCUGAAAGAAAGACAGACAGACUUAGAGACUUGGGAACCUGUUUUGGGAGGACAACUGCGGAUGCUAAUUCUUUUUUUUCUCCUAAGACCCUGAGACUUAGUGUCCCUGAUGCAUUUACUCUUACUUCAGGCCCAGCUCUUAGAUAAGUAACAGGGGAAUUCAACAGGGUGCCACGAGAGAGUAUGGUCCCUCCGUCACCACCACCCACCUCUGGGAUCCCUCCUCUACCACGAUAAGGCCUCUACUCACAUGAAAAUUCACAGGCAACGAUCAGCACGUUCAAAAGCCAGCCACAGUCAGCUAACUGGAUGUGUUCAUCACCUCACCGUGACAAAAGUGAUGUGUUCCUCCCCUC